UACGGGGGGGGCAAGCGUUGUUCGGAAUUACUGGGCGUAAAGCGCACGUAGGCGGGUUAUCAAGUUGGGGGUGAAAGCCCGGGGCUCAACCUCGGAAUUGCCUUCAAAACUGAUAACCUGGAGUAUGGAAGAGGUAAGUGGAACUCCGAGUGUAGAGGUGAAAUUCGUAGAUAUUCGGAAGAACACCAGUGGCGAAGGCGACUUACUGGUCCAUUACUGACGCUGAGGCUCGAAAGCGUGGGGAGCAAACAGG
rnacentral:rRNA from 1 species